rnacentral:lncRNA from 1 species
CCCCUUUUGUGACCUUUAAGAAAUGAAAAUGAUUUCAAAAGAAUUACAGGUAAUCAAAAGUGGCAAAUAUUGAUGGAAAUUCUGUUAACUGGCUGUUAUUUCCAAUUGAGAGUAUUCAUUUUUCUGGAAAUCAUAUCCUACUGAGUCACUACGAAGAUGGCCUCGAUGGCUUCUACUUCACUUACUCCCAUAAGCAUAACUGGUCCUAAGUGGGAUUUUUUCAUUUUGGUCAGACUUUGACCCUGAUUGCAACAAAAUCCGGAGGCAGAUAUUCACACCGGAGCGCCCCGCCUCCCCGCGUGU